UACGUAGGGGGCGAGCGUUGUCCGGAUUUAUUGGGCGUAAAGAGCUCGUAGGCGGUUCGGUAAGUCGGAUGUGAAAUCUCCACGCUCAACGUGGAGGGGCCAUUCGAUACUGCCGUGACUCGAGUCCGGUAGGGGAGUGUGGAAUUCCCGGUGUAGCGGCGAAAUGCGCAGAGAUCGGGAGGAACACCCGUAGCGAAGGCGGCACUCUGGGACGUGACUGACGCUGAGACGCGAAAGCGUGGGGAGCAAACAGG
rnacentral:rRNA from 1 species